rnacentral:piRNA from 1 species
UGCUUAGGAGAAACAGUGUUGCACUAUGC